rnacentral:lncRNA from 1 species
UGCUUUCUGGAAGGAAAACCUUUUGGCACAUCAAGCCAGAGCUCUCUCCACAGCCCUGUGAACAAAGGGAGUCCUUCCAGCAGGUAAGCAUUCUCUAAAAGAUGACUUCAAGCAAGACAAUAAAAAAAGAGAUUGAAGGAACAUGCUUUGACUAUCCAAAGGGCAGACUGCAUUUAAGCCGAUUUUUGAAGGCUACAUUUCAUCAUGAAAACCUUCUGCUAUAUACAACCACUCUGUUUAAGGUUUUUCAGAAAACAGAUAGUACACUGUGGCUGCAUGUGGCUUAUCACAUUUUGGUGGGAUUUCUGGAAGGCAAAGCCCAUAUUUCACAGCUCUCCUGCUGUAGCCCCAGAAAUUACCAGGAAUGGAAGCAACAGUGAUGUGGGCCUGCAGAAGGCCAAACAGAAGACAGUUGAAGAGGAGGGUCAAGAUCAACAGUGUUGGAACCAUAUAUUGAAUCACAGGAAACCAGAAAGCAACUCCGAACACAGCAUCAUUCUGACGGCAUCUUACAAGCCAGUAGAUAAUGCCCAGCAGGGCUCAGCCUGGGCAGAAAGUCAAGACAAUAGAAAUGAGCCAUUCAGUGAUUUGGAUUCCUCCUCAAAAUCUUCCUCCUCCCAGUGCUGCCCCAGCCAGCUUGGGUACAGUGAGGGGCAGGUCAACCAGGAGCCUCCACUAUGAGGGACCAAGUGCUGGUCUACAGGACAUUUUGCUCUGAUCAGGUAAAAACAUCCCUCUUUUUACAUCAUGUGCAGGUCUUCAAGACCACCAUCUGAGCGGCCAAGAACACACUGUGCAGUGCCCAGGCAUCUGCUUUCAAAGACGCUCCAGAAAAUAAACUAUGAUCUCCCUGGUGCUAUUAAGGAGAG